CCUACGGGUGGCUGCAGUGAGGAAUAUUGGUCAAUGGACGCAAGUCUGAACCAGCCAUGCCGCGUGCAGGAUGACGGCUCUAUGGGUUGUAAACUGCUUUUGUACGAGGGUAAACCCCUAUACGUGUAGCAGGUUGUAAGUAUCGUACGAAUAAGGAUCGGCUAACUCCGUGCCAGCAGCCGCGGUAAUACGGAGGAUCCGAGCGUUAUCCGGAUUUAUUGGGUUUAAAGGGUGCGUAGGCGGUUUGAUAAGUUAGAGGUGAAAUGUCGGGGCUCAACCCUGAAAUUGCCUCUAAUACUGUUGGUCUAGAGAAGAGUGGAGGUAGGCGGAAUGUAUGGUGUAGCGGUGAAAUGCUUAGAGAUCAUACAGAACACCGAUUGCGAAGGCAGCUCACCAAACUAUAUCUGACGUUGAGGCACGAAAGCGUGGGUAGCAAACAGGAUUAGAUACCCUGGUAGUC
rnacentral:rRNA from 1 species